CCAUGCAGGUCGAGNGGAUGAAGGGAGCUUGCUCCUGGAUUCAGCGGCGGACGGGUGAGUAAUGCCUAGGAAUCUGCCUGGUAGUGGGGGAUAACGUCCGGAAACGGGCGCUAAUACCGCAUACGUCCUGAGGGAGAAAGUGGGGGAUCUUCGGACCUCACGCUAUCAGAUGAGCCUAGGUCGGAUUAGCUAGUUGGUGGGGUAAAGGCCUACCAAGGCGACGAUCCGUAACUGGUCUGAGAGGAUGAUCAGUCACACUGGAACUGAGACACGGUCCAGACUCCUACGGGAGGCAGCAGUGGGGAAUAUUGGACAAUGGGCGAAAGCCUGAUCCAGCCAUGCCGCGUGUGUGAAGAAGGUCUUCGGAUUGUAAAGCACUUUAAGUUGGGAGGAAGGGCAGUAAGUUAAUACCUUGCUGUUUUGACGUUACCAACAGAAUAAGCACCGGCUAACUUCGUGCCAGCAGCCGCGGUAAUACGAAGGGUGCAAGCGUUAAUCGGAAUUACUGGGCGUAAAGCGCGCGUAGGUGGUUCAGCAAGUUGGAUGUGAAAUCCCCGGGCUCAACCUGGGAACUGCAUCCAAAACUACUGAGCUAGAGUACGGUAGAGGGUGGUGGAAUUUCCUGUGUAGCGGUGAAAUGCGUAGAUAUAGGAAGGAACACCAGUGGCGAAGGCGACCACCUGGACUGAUACUGACACUGAGGUGCGAAAGCGUGGGGAGCAAACAGGAUUAGAUACCCUGGUAGUCCACGCCGUAAACGAUGUCGACUAGCCGUUGGGAUCCUUGAGAUCUUAGUGGCGCAGCUAACGCGAUAAGUCGACCGCCUGGGGAGUACGGCCGCAGGUAAAACUCAAAUGAAU
rnacentral:rRNA from 1 species